UACGUAGGGUGCAAGCGUUGUCCGGAAUUAUUGGGCGUAAAGGGCUCGUAGGCGGUCUGUCACGUCGGGAGUGAAAACUCAGGGCUUAACCCUGAGCCUGCUUCCGAUACGGGCAGACUAGAGGUAUGCAGGGGAGAACGGAAUUCCUGGUGUAGCGGUGAAAUGCGCAGAUAUCAGGAGGAACCCCGGUGGCGAAGGCGGGUCUCUGGGCAAUAACUGACGCUGAGGAGCGAAAGCGUGGGGAGCGAACAGG
rnacentral:rRNA from 1 species